GAGAUGUAGUCCUCCCGGGCCUCACCUUACUACAAGAGAUGAGGGGAGCCCGCACUUUAGUCCUUCCCCCCCCACCCCUCCGCAACCAUCGGACCUGAUGCGGACGGCGACCCCACUGCUUACCUAGCUAAGCAGCACUGCAGCACCUUUCUCAACUGGAGGGCGGGCCUUUAGUCUCAGUUCGUUCCGCCUGAUUCGCUGAGGUGGAACGCCUUCUUUUCUGAUUGGUGGAGUGCCCUAUUCAUCAUAAUGAAGAGGCUAGGGCUGGAGUUGCCAUGGGAGCGAGGGACGCGUAACCACCACAAAGGCGGAGGGAUACGAGCUUCACAAUCACUGACUCUCCUCGCUCUCAGCUCGGGCCGGCCUGAUUUAAUAACGUCCCCUGAGGCAAGGAGGGGAAGUUUGGAUGAAGACUGGCUCUUAAGGGUUUACUGUCCAGGAUCCCAAAGCAUAUAUGAUGUGCAAACUCCAGAACAGCCUGUCCAGGGAAUCUCACCAUCAGUGUCCGAGAAGAUCAGAACAAUAAGUACUCUGUGCAAAAGAAAAUCUUCAAAAGAUUGGCUAAUGCAGGAGCCCUCAACUACUUUGCAGCCCUGUUCAGGAGCACCUAACAUGCGUGAUUCAGACAGCCGCUGGCUACUAAAGCUGAAAUGUCCAAGGUCCCAGACAGAGUAUGACCUGCAGACUCCAGAACAGAGGGCCACCUCAUCCCUGGCUAGGAGCAGAUCCCCAAGAACUUUUGUCAGAAGUGCUUCUGAGAGGAAAAAAGCUUGCGAAGAUUGGUUAACGCAGAAGCGUUUUUCUCAAGUGCAGGCAGUAUCUAAUGAAGGCCAAGAUAUUAUUGCUGCUACCCAGUCCAUCUUGGACAGAGAAAAUUAUUUUGUAAAGGAGGUGGACAAGUAUUUGAAACACAGAGAUUUCUUAGAGCUGAGAAAGAAGGAGAUCCAGUACAAGAAAUGGCUGGAGUGUGUUUCAGAGCCGUUGCUGCAGAAAAUUGAGGACAAAGUUGACAGCCAGUCAAGUGAAGAAAUAGAGGAAAGGAAACGAAAGCAGCUCUCUCUAUAUUUGAACUACUGUAAUAAGAAGUCUUUCCCUUCUCCUGGCCCCCCUGCUGCCCCACCUCACUGCCCCUCUGUCAUCAACCCAAUGCCUCUCUCCAUCUCCAUCCAUCUCCCUCCAUUCUCCCACUUCUUCCUCCAGGCUUCCCCGCCCUCUCGGACCCCACGCAUGCUUCCUCUCUUCCCUUUCACUCUUCUAUCACUCUCCUCUUCCCCCCCACCACUUGUCCCCGCCUCUUGCCCGUUCCAUCCCUCUGUUCUCCCUCCUUUCUAUCAGUCGCUCGCUCCCUUCCCCCCUUUCAUCCAGCCUCCCCCUCUCUUCCUCCGGUCUCUCCCCUCCCUGACCUUCCAAGUGCCCCCAUCUCAGUCUUUCCCUCUCCCCAGAUCUCUGCCAGCUCUCUCCCCACAGCUUUGCUCCUCCCUCCCCCCUCUGACUCUGCCAACAUUUCCCCCUCUCCCUGUCCCUCCAUUGGUUCUCCAAUCUCCACCUCUCCUUCCCCCCAUCCCAUCCCGCCAGCCAGCCUUCCUCUGACUCCCCACUCUUUCACCUCCCCCCUCCCUGCCAGUCCCACAGCCAAAGCCAUGGGUAGCGGAUGAAUGGCGACAUGGCCAGUCAUGGCCCGAAGAUAGAAGCAGCUCUGCUUCCAUCAGGCCACAGUUGGCUGAAGACAAGGGUCUGCUCAGCUGCACCAGGCCGGUAUCGGGGGCUCCGUUUUUUCAAACCUCUCAGCUCUUCAGCAGCGGUGGAUGUCACUUCCAUCUCCGGCUGGACUGCUGAGUUAGGCCUGGGGGGAGGGGAGCUCUGCUGCACUUCACAACAGCGUGGCAGGGACAUGGAGGGGCUUGUGCACCAAUGCUUUAGAGAGUAGCAGAGACGUCAUAAACUAUGCCUGUGCUUCCACGUGGGAUUAGCCAUUAAGACUGUAAGCUCUCCAGGGCAGGGACAUCACUGGGUACGUGUUUGUACAGCACCUAGCACAAUGCUGAGCCUGAUCUGAGGUCUCCAUGCACCACUAUGAUAUCAAUAUUAAAUACAAAGCAAGGGAUGGCAUGAAACUGCUGCUGAGGAGUUAGAGCUGCAUCAAUAACAGACUCCUCCAGCCACAGGACACUGUAAAUGUACAUGUAACCUGUGCUAGCUAGGCCUCAGCAUUGCUACACUCCAGCCACUGCACCAUGACCUGAGCUGUUGCUUGCUUCCCACACAGGGCAAGGUGGCUUUGGAAGAUUAUGAUGCUUCAGAGUAUGACCCUCUCUUCCUGAAUACACAUCCCACCUAUUUGAAGGUGGCAACUCCACCUUUACACGAUCCGCUGUUAAAAGAGGUACAAGGAAGAUUUCUUGAGGGCGGGCUUAUCCAGCAAUGUGAGACAGG